rnacentral:rRNA from 1 species
AGAGCGAACGCUGGCGGCAGGCCUAACACAUGCAAGUCGAGCGCUCCGCAAGGGGAGCGGCAGACGGGAGAGUAACACGUGGGAACGUACCCUUCAGUUCGGAACAACCCAGGGAAACUUGGGCUAAUACCGAAUACGUCCGUAAGGAGAAAGAUUUAUCGCUGAAGGAUCGGCCCGCGUCUGAUUAGCUUGUUGGUGAGGUAACGGCUCACCAAGGCGACGAUCAGUAGCUGGUCUGAGAGGAUGAUCAGCCUCACUGGGACUGAGACACGGCCCAGACUCCUACGGGAGGCAGCAGUGGGGAAUAUUGGACAAUGGGCGCAAGCCUGAUCCAGCCAUGCCGCGUGGGUGAUGAAGGCCCUAGGGGUUGUAAAGCCCUUUCGGCGGGAAGAUAAUGACGGUACCCGCAGAAGAGCCCGGCUAACUCGUGCCAGCAGCCGC